rnacentral:lncRNA from 1 species
UCUUUCUCCUGCCUUUGAAUUCCCCAUCACACCAAAGCCCAAUCCCGGAGAACCAUGGUGUGAGAUUCGAGGCAAGGUCAAUGGAAACACGUUUCUGUAUUACGCCUGUGGGAACAAGAAGGUCGAAGUCUUUGGUCCUCUGGGGAGGAAUGUGAAUGACAUAGUGUUUUGGGAGAGACAGACCGAAACUCUGAAAGACCUGGCAGAAGAGCUCAAGAAGAAACUACUUGACUGGAAAGCAGCGGAUUUUACACCCAGUGGUAAGUCGGAAAGGCCCAGGGCAGAAGUAGAACAGUUUGUAGGGCCAGGGACCUAUUGUGUUCACGUACAACUUAGACAUGGGUCCCACACGCGUGGCCCAGCAGCCAGGGCAGUGAAGAGGGACAGAACAGGACCAAGAAGGGUGAAGGGGAGCCGAGGAGUGGACAGCGGGUGGGACAAGGGAUCGGUCAAGACCAGAGGCUGACCUCAUGCCCAUGGUGGGGGUGGGGGACAGACUCUCUCUCCCUGCAGGGCAGGAUGGUGUGUGUGCGUGGGGACAACGGACGCACCAGCGGAUCCUGGGAGUUUCACAUCAAUGAACAGAUAUCCUACUUCUUUAACUCAGAGAGUGGAAAUUGGACACUUUGUCCUAGAGGCCAACAGAUAAAGGCCUCAUGGGAGAGUGACAGAGAUUUGACCAAUUCCCUCGUGAAGAUCUCAGUUGGAGAUUGUAACAAGUGGCUUGAGCGAAUAUUGAUGCACUGGGAUGAACUGUGGGAGACAACAGGUAACUCAGAAGACUGGAUGAAGUUGUUCUCUUGAAAUCGGGCCUACCUUCUCCACUGUAGUGUGCGUGUGUGUGUGUGAGAGAGAGAGAGAGAGAGAGAGAGACAGAAACAGAGCCAGAGAAGGUGAUCCAUCCAUGGUGAAUUUCUUUAGGGGAGAGUAAUGGCCACAUUAUGUUCUAGCGUCCUUCCUUUCCCUUCUCAACUCCUGAAAUCUCUUCCUUGCUGCAUGUCCUUUAGUUUUCUGGGAUUUCUUGGAUUCCCUCUAGGCCCCAAACAUGAGGGUGUCAGUCUGAUUCCAGAGAUUCCUUCUCGCUCUUCCCUUUCCUGAGAAUCAUUGAUCUUCUCAUCUCAUCUUGUCUCUGGCCGGGGAUCAUUCCUGGCCACGUGCACUGUUAGCUCCAGAGAGGGGGUCAACUGUCACCACCCUCGUGCUCCGUGACCACCUCUUCUGCCACAGCAGGAGUGACCAGUUAUGUUGGAACCCGUGCUUCCCCCUUUAGCUGUGCGAGGUCCUUCGGGACAGGUCCCGUGUCUUUCCUCGGUUCCCGCCCCAGAACCUGUCACAGCAGCUGCCACGAUGUAGAGUGACAGAAAGCAUCUGCAGCGUGGGAUCAUCUGCGGCAGGAGGAGCGGAGGGGGUAUCUCUUCCGAUUUAAGUCUGAAACAGGAUUUGGGGUCUGAAACCCUCUUGUGUUUCCAUUUCAGCCCCGCCAGGCACGCAGCAAGUCACGGCCCAGUCCGGGGCCACGGCCCUCAGACCCAUCACCUGGAUCCU